GGUUAGCUGCCGAGCAUUGGAACGAUUCUGCGUCACUUCCUCCCUCCAAAGUUGUUCGUAGAAUUUCUCUAGGUCCGGAGUUAUUCGG